rnacentral:misc_RNA from 1 species
GUGAAUCAUCAAAUUUUUGAACGCAAAUUGCACUCUCUUCGGAGAGUAUGCCUGUUUGAGGGUCAGCCUAAAAAAAAAUCGACAUAGUCGCGGUUUCGCGUUGACAUUCUUGGGAAAUUGGGUCAUCUUAAACAUUUGGGUUUUAAUCGGCUUAAAAUUUUCUUUACGAUUUCACGAACGGUUUUUAGGUUUUCUUCUUUUACGUUUGUGGUAUCGAUCGUUAUUAAA